AUUGAACGCUGGCGGCGUGCUUAACACAUGCAAGUCGAUCGGUAACAGGUGUAGCAAUACAUGCUGACGAGAGGCGGACGGGUGAGGAACGCUUGGGAAUCUGCCUAUCAGCGGGGGACAACCCGGGGAAACCCGGGCUAAUACCGCAUACGCUCUACGGAGGAAAGCCGGGGACCGCAAGGCCCGGCACUGCUAGAUGAGCCCAAGUCGGAUUAGCUAGUUGGCGGGGUAACGGCCCACCAAGGCGACGAUCCGUAGUUGGUCUGAGAGGACGGCCAGCCAUACCGGAAGUGAGUCACGUUCCGGGCUACUACGGAAGGCAGUGUUGGGGAAUAUUGCACAAUGGGCGAAAGCCUGAUACAGCGCCGCCGCGUGGGGGAAGAAGACCUGCGGGUUGUAAAGUCCUUUCGGUAGAGACGAAAGCUCUCGACCUAAUACGUCGGGAGGUUGACUUAACCUACAAAAGAAGCACCGGCUAACUCUGUGCCAGCCGCCGCCGUAAAAC
rnacentral:rRNA from 1 species